AUACGGAGGAUCCGAGCGUUAUCCGGAUUUAUUGGGUUUAAAGGGUGCGUAGGCGGCCUUUUAAGUCAGCGGUGAAAGUCUGUGGCUCAACCAUAGAAUUGCCGUUGAAACUGGGGGGCUUGAGUAUGUUUGAGGCAGGCGGAAUGCGUGGUGUAGCGGUGAAAUGCUUAGAUAUCACGCAGAACCCCGAUUGCGAAGGCUUCCGGCAAGGCCAUGACUGACGCUGAUGCACGAAAGCGUGGGGAUCAAACAGGAUUUGAUACCCUGGUAGUCCACGCAGUAAACGAUGAUCACUAGCUGUUUGCGAUACACUGUAAGCGGCACAGCGAAAGCGUUAAGUGAUCCACCUGGGGAGUACGCCGGCAACGGUGAAACUCAAAUGAAUUGACGGGG
rnacentral:rRNA from 1 species